UUUGUACAACAUGGUUCUCAUCUUCCACUUCUUAAAGGAAACUCUUACGAUGGAAAGACUUUCUGAUAGAAUCCGGGUAGCGCCAACCACAGGAUGAGGUGGUAUCUUUAGAAUAUGCAUAAUGGUGUGCGUGAGGACAGAGUAAGAUUAAAAAUGAAUAAAGAAGUGAAUUAAAAGAGAAGGUGGUCAAAAAGAGUUGCUACUGUUGAGCUAUGCCUAUCAAUAUUUGGUUUCAAUGCCUUGGCUUAGCGGUACGGUUGGUAAGGAUUUGUAGUACUAUUUUUUUCCUUUGGGUAUAAUUUGUUUUGCUUAUCACGUGUACUGCACUGCAAGCAGUGUACUUAAGGAAAUUAUCAUAAAAAUAUUAAGUGAAUUAUAGGUUUGGGCAUUUUUAAGUUUGUAAUUGUAAGAAUACGUAACUAGGAUAAGAGAAAAAAAUUUAUGUGCCAGUUUUAGGUUUUUCACCCAUAAAACUUGUAUCCACUAUUUUCAUUGGUCCAACAAAAAUUUGUAUCCAUAAAACUUGGGUAAAGUGUACAUGCGCAUGCGCUUGGAUAAACUGUACACGCGGAAGCGCGUAAAAAAGUAUAAAAAAAUGUGGGUACUUUUACACUCACAAAUGGACUUCUUACAUGUAUAUCGAGGUGUAGGAAAAGGUAUAUACUACCUGCUUAUCAAGGUGGAGGGUUUGUCGGAUGAGACUCUAUGGGUUGUCUAAGUCAUCGCCGUUUAGCUUCACAAUUGAGAAACCAUACUUGGAACUUUCGCCUGGCAAUGUUAGUUUGUUUGAUAAUCUUCGAUGUAAUUUGGGAGGAUGUGUGACGAGUGUAAUGAAUUUAGGGAAACAAUUUGAAGUAGAAUAAACAAAAAGGAAAAUGAAGGUUUUGUGGAACAAAAUCAAAGAAUCAGUAUAUUUAGACUUGGUUUUGAGCAUUGUGGUUAUCGAUAAUUAGUGGGUAAUUUGUUGGAAAGUUUAGGUGGGUAAAUUUACCAUUAACUGGAAUAAAAAAAUUGAUUGUAAUGAAAUAGUUGCAAAUAAUCGAUUUGACAAAGCCCUUAGAGGACCUUUCAUCUUGACUUAAAAGAAGAUUUACCUAUUUAGCAAAUAAAAGAUGUAAAUUACCCAAGUACCAAAUAACUUAAAACUUACCAACUUUUCCAAUCCCCCGCCUAAAUAUUAUAAAAGAAAUUUUAAUACGAAGUUUUGUGAGCUUUGAAAAUAAUCAUUAAAAUUAGAUCUAGUGACUAGGUCAUGUAGUCAUUUCAGUUAUUGACCAUGCUAUGCGGGAGAAUGUUCUGUAAAGUGAUCGUUGUAACUUGACCGAACAAAUCUUUUUGGAUUUUUCUUUCAAUGCCCUUGGUAUUUUUAAUCCCUCAGGGAGUUUCAUAUAUAUAUCGUUAUCCAACGAUCCAUACAAAUAUGCAGUCACAACGUCCAUGAGAUGCAUCUGAAGAUUUUUAAAUGCUGUUAGGCUCAUCAAAAAUCUAAACGUAAUUGUAUCCAUUACCGGGGAAUACGUUUCCUCAAAAUCAAUUUCCAGUCUCUGGAAAAAUCUUUGGGCAACUAAUCAGGUUUUAUAUCGUGUUACUUUUCUCACGAAUACCCACUUAUACCCAACAAGAUUUAUAUUCUCAGGCGUUAUGACUAUAGGUCCAAAGACAUUCCUUUUAUUUAGGGAGAAUAAUUCAAUUUGAUUGGCUUUCUGCCACUCCUCCCAAUCAUGUCUUUUUAACAUUCCAAAUAGACCUUGAAUCGGGAUCAUCACUUUUAUGAUCGAUCUCUUUGGACAGAAAAGGAGAACAUUCCAUCAACAUCUUUUAUCAUAUAACUUUUCAUCAAGGGUGUAGUUGAUGGAAAUCUCAUACUUUUUUGUUCUCUUUUCGUCAUCUGGAUCAUCUUUAUUUGGUUCAUCUUGACAUUUUUCAUCUAUGCCUUCUUUCAAACAUUUUUCAGUAUCAGGUUUUUCUGGAACCUUUCCACUUAUGCCUUCUUUCAGACAUAUUAUAAUAUCAUGUUCUUCUGGAACCUUACCAUUUAUGCCUUCUUUCAGACAUCUUUCACUAUCAGGUUCUCUUUGAACCUUUCAACCAAUUUCUUUCGGGGAUUUAUAUCUCUAGAACCCGCUAGUCUCCCCCUUUUUAACUGAACCAUAGGUUCAUUUAUUUUGUUAUCAUCACUUUGUUCUUUAGGAACAUCAACUCUUGAUGGAACAUUUUCAGCGGGUAUAUCAUGUCGUAUCUGUGAACACAUUUGGUAACUGGUUUGCCAAAUUAUGCAAAUGCAUAAUUUCCUGAACUUCCAGCUCUCUUUGAUUUGUAAGGGGAACAAAGUGUAACAACGAAUGUGUACACCAUGUAAUCUCUUUAGGAAUUUCUCAAAUCCCUCCCCCUAACGCUGGAAAUUCAUCCUCUGGCAAAUCGUGCCGUAAAAAAUCACCAGUUACUGGUUCAAAAUACCUUAUAUACAGCUUGUUCUAACACUUUCAGAGUUUUAUAUAUUCCCGAGAUUAUCUUUAACUCUCCAGGGACUACUAAACAUCAAGAUGCAACUCAAGUUAUUUUUGUCCUGCCAGACAUUUCAAUAUAUUGCAUCUAUUUUAAAUUUUCUCCAGUGACCUUGGAACAAGCCGUUUUUUCAUAUCUGAAGGUCAUCUUUCAUUUCAUUCUCUGGAGAACUAUACUUUGGACUUUUGGUCCAAAAAAUCUCUCGUUUUUCUAACGAGCUUUAUAUCGAAUUGAUGGCCAAUCAAUUCACUCUAGUCUCAUACAUAGAGGUAGAUUCAUAAUCCUUAUUUAUAUAGCACUUUUUCAUUUUAUUAUCGACAAUCUAUUUUCUCUUUGGUUCCAUCUUUUUAUCCGUACUGAUAUGGUUAAUCGAGAUCUCUUUAUCAUCGAUGAUUUACUCAUGUACUUGACUAUUAUAUUAACCAUAUCAACGGUCUCAUCAUGAGAUUCAUCCUUUAUUCAUAUUUUUGCUCCUUUUCGAGGAUUCUUUGGAACCAAAGUGGUCUAUCACGUCUCCAGCGUGUUAUAGACUCAUAUAUUAUCCUUUUAGGACACAUUUUCAUAUUGGAGCAUUUUCAGCUGGAAUAUGAGAUAUCAUUAUUUCAUCAAAAUGUAUGGCAUGCAUUUUGGAAAUGGAUUAUCCUACUUUUCAUUGUAAUCCAUUUCACAUAUCUCAUUCCAUCAGCUUAUCAUAUGCUUCUAGCAAACUUGCGAGCAUAUUUCUAAUUAUUCAUAUACUUUAUCCCUCUGGAUUGUAUAUGUCUUUAUUACAUGCACAACUGCAUUACACCUAAUCAUGGGGAUCAUCUUACUUGAAUUUACUUUAUCAAGUUCUUUUUCAAGUGCGAACAUAAUUUUUCAAUGUUCCACUCACUAGGAUUCUUUAAUUCUUCCCCUCGAGAUGAUGACACUCCAUGUCUAAAAUCUCGUACUGAAUCCCACUCUAGAACCAAUAACAUAUUCAGUUUUCCCAUUUUGAGAUGAAUUAUGUUUCAAAUCCUUUGAGUGAGAUUUUAAUUUGGGGGCUGCUUAAAGAAAUCACAUAUAAUGAAUUUGUUUGAUGAUUCAUCAUCCAUGAUGGUUUUCUUUAUUUUCUUGACAUGAUAUAUGUGAAAAAGAAUUUCACAAUAAUGUUGAUAACAUUAUUGGAGAUGGCUAUAUAUCAGUAAACUCCAGGUUUACCACUCAUUUAUAAUUUUGGCAUCUUUUUCUUAUGCAUGUCUUUUCAUCAUAAGUUCCUCUAGAGCUAAUAGUAUCUUUUAUAGUAAUAUAUAUUAUGCUUACUUAUUUUGAGAGAGGAGAAAUAUUUGUUACCUUUAGUAGUCAUGUACGAUGAUCCAAUAUCAGCCAGGUAUAUCUAUCUCCAUCCUAAAUCUCAAAAUCUUAUUUAGGAAGAUAAUUCUCAUAUCACAUUGAUAUUUUAUUUUCAUUUUCUGGAUCAACCAGAAAAUCUGAAUCAUCAAGAUGAGUAUUCAAGCUAUGAAAAAUGGUUCGGGCUCAUAAGAGAUGAAGUCUAAUAUACUUCCUUUCUCUUUUUCUUUUUGAUUCUCAAUAUAGAUCGGCUAAAUAUUUAGCGUACGACAAUUACGUACCCAAUUUUCUUUCUGGCCGCAUUUAUAGCAAACUUUUUCUGUUAGCCUUUUAUUACCCGACCACUUUCAUUUUCAUGGAAGUUCUAAUUUUUUUUUUAAGGACGGAAUCGCCUUCCUUGUCCUCUUCCACGGCCACGAUAGCGGUUUCAACCGCAUCUACACCCUCGUCCUUUUCUAAUAGGACCGAUUUGAUGGUUUAGUAUCAUGAUUUCAUUUUUUUCCAGUUUAUUCGGAAGAUUUACAUUAACUCCGAUCCUUUCUUUCAAGGAUUUAAUCAUCAAAGAUCUUCUAGAUCUUUUCUCAUGUUACACUUCAUCUUUUAAACCAUCAUUGAAUUGGUGUAAAUAUCAUAGCUUUUCUUUUUCUCAUCCGAUAUAGUUUUCAACUUAUCAAUGAUUUCUCAAAGCUCAUUUUCUCUCACGUGCAUCUUUGCACCCACUGCCCAAGUCUUAUAAUUAUUUCUCGUAAUAUCAAGGGCAUCUAUUUUGAGCUUUGUCAAAUUUGACAUGAUAACCGUAUUCAUAGAAUAAUAAUAUAAUAAAGACGAGAAUUUAAACGCAGAAAUUAAAGGCAUAAAAUAAAUGCUUAAAUUUAAAUAGCAUAAAUAAAUCGGGAGGCUCAGCCUACCACAUGAUCCGAGGAGUCAUAGACUACCAUAUUGAUCAUUUUUUAAAGUCCGAGGAGACAUGGUCUACCAUUUUGACUUUUACUUUUUUCAAGGUCCGAGGAGACUUAGUCUACCAUUUUUGACCUUUUCUUUUUAUUUAUGGAGGCAAAGCCUUCCACGUGUUUCUCUGAUCGUGAAGGAAUAGCCUACCAUAACGAUCAGUCGGGAAAAGUAACACCUAUCAUCCCGAAUAAUAAACGGAGAAGGCCUAGCCUCUAACUCCGGAAUAAUAAUAAAAUUUAAAUAAAUUAAUUUUAUUGAACACAUAAAUUUAAACAUUACUUCGACUGGUUUGAAAACUUUCGGAUUAAUAAACCUCAGUUGGUCAGAGCUUCGUGCUGAUAACGUGUUGUAAAUAAAAAAGAGUAAACAAAUAACUAUAGCUUUGCUUUUAUAUAUAUAUAUAUAUAUAUAUAUAUAUAUAUAUAUAUAUAUAUAUAUAUAUAUAUAUAUAUAUUUAUGCUGGAGAGUAAUGAGAGAUGAGAGCAAAUGAUUCUUUUGAUUAUAAACUCUUCUUCUUGUUGUACGUAUAAAGUAAAGAGGAUGAGUGCUAUUUAUAGCACAAUAGGUCGGUCUCAUAUGUAGUAAAAGACAAAACAAGAAGGUGAUGAUGUACAAAAUUAACUUGGAGUGGAAAAGUGUCCUACUACGUGGGAUUAUAUGGAUAAUCAUACGUAACAAUUUGCAAAUUUACAAUGAACACACUCAAAAGAUAAAACAGUAAAAGGGCAACCCUCCUUUGGCAAAGACUCAA